AUGAAAAAAAUAAAAACUAUUGAAUAUUAUCAGAGCUAUAAGCGUCGUUAUAACACGCCACUCCAAUAUUAGCAUUAUUCAGCCGAAAAAAACGUUCACCGGAAAGUAACAAACGGGUAUAUAGGUAUUCUUCUGUUCUAUCAUCGAUGGUCGCGUAAUGAAAACACCGAGAUAACUAAAACACUUCGAUAUUCUACCGUAUGAUAAUCGUUGUGGGGCGCGCU